GGGCCCGCACAAGCGGUGGAUUAUGUGGAUUAAUUCGAUGCAACGCGAAAAACCUUACCUGGCCUUGACAUGUACCGAAUUUAGCAGAGAUGCUUUAGUGCUCGUAAGAGAACGGUAACACAGGUGCUGCAUGGCUGUCGUCAGCUCGUGUCGUGAGAUGUUGGGUUAAGUCCCGCAACGAGCGCAACCCUUGCCAUUAAUUGCCAUCAUUUAGUUGGGCACUUUAAUGGGACUGCCGGUGACAAACCGGAGGAAGGUGGGGAUGACGUCAAGUCCUCAUGGCCCUUAUGGCCAGGGCUUCACACGUAAUACAAUGGUCGGUACAGAGGGCUGCUAACCCGCGAGGGGGUGCUAAUCUCAGAAAACCGAUCGUAGUCCGGAUUGUUGUCUGCAACUCGACAGCAUG
rnacentral:rRNA from 1 species